ACUUGAGCGCCAGCAGCCUCUAGUUGGCAAGAUUAGACACCUUAAGCAGUCCUGCUCUCUCCUGACAAGCUGCAGCUGGCUACUGACCAGUGGACAUGGCCCUGGAGCACCUUGGGGGUCACUCAGUGAAGAAGCUGUGCCAGGAGACUGGGAAUAUCUUCCAAAUCCUUAAGCAAACAGUGCUGAAAACAAACUGCUGAAAGAAAUACAAGCAUAUGACUUUAAAAUGAUGCCUCUGGAAAUAAGGGACAUACAGCAGCUGCCAGAUGUUCAUGAUCCCACCUCCCCUACUUAACAAAGGCACCUAUAUUUCACCAGAAAUAAAAUUUUAUUAGUAACAUGUCAAAUGUUUUAAAAUACAAUUACCUUUCUUCUUCCUCUCAGUUUAAAAAACAAUCCAAUAAAAACUCUAAAUCAUGACCCAAAUAUUUUUAAAUGUGAAAAAGACAUAUUUUAGAUUAUGUAACAGAUACACAUUUUCCCAAAUAAAUGUUGUAGAACACCAUCUGCUUGAUAUUUGAGUGCAUUCCCACAGAAAUAAAUUCCUGCUUCUCUUCCUUCAUUAAUGGUUUAUGACAAAUUUAUGACACUAUAUUUCACAAUAGUUAUACCAAAAUUUUAUGACCAAAAGAGCCUGACAAAAAUCACUUGGCAUGCUCAAAUUAGACAAUUUAUGUGACUCUCUCAUUUACACCAAUCCUCCACCCCGUACUGAGACCCCAGCGACUGAGGAGAAAUAGAAAAAGUACAACAGGGGAAGGAUCUCUCACAGAAUAAAGCUCAAAAAAGAGCUCAAGACAAGAAGUUACAGAUCCAGGUGCCAUUUUCAGCUCAGGUUUUCCAUAAUCUUCAGCUUAUGCAGCUACCCAAAAUUCUGAAUUUAAUGUAGGAUGUUUUUGUAAGGUUGUCUCAGAUUUUGCCAAGCAAGAAAUUGCUAAAUUCUUGUUAAAUGUGAACAGGAUUUCAUCUUUGUUACCAAAUGGAGCUCCCUUAUGUGAAUAUAAUGAAGAGGAAAAUCAAGAAGAGAAAUUUGCAUGUGUCAUCUCCUGACUGAUAAGAAUGGUACAUGACUCUACCCAUGUUCCUUUCCUGCACUUGAUAUAGAGAAAACUUGUAAGAGGAAUAAUCUUUGCAUUUUGCUCUGCAAAGUAUUAUAGUAUUUGUGGCAAAUUUAGAAAACUAGUGUUAUGGUUUUCUGAUUUUACUUCAUGCAUUUUAUUUCUUAAAAGAAAAAAAAUCCCGCAGAACACAGACAUGAACACAGAGUCUUUGAAAGUUUAAGAGUAUAGGCUUCAGUCUGCAUAUUUCUCCAAUGAUGUAGACUCUCCCAACUCAAAGUGUGGUGGAUGGAUUGGCAGCAUCCACAUCACCUGGGACAUUCGAGAGAUGAAGACCUUCAUUCCUCACCCCAAACCUACUAAAAGGAUCCCUAGUGACUUGUAAGCUCAACAAGCACUAAUGUAAUGUUUUUAAUCCACCCAACCCUAAAGGAUAAUCCUUGAGAAAGACAAAACUACUUUAAUGGGGAAAUUUUGUCCAUAACGUUCAAUCAGGAAUGUAACAACUUUUAGACAUGGCCCACUUAAUAAAGAAACAAAAAACCUGAAAUUUGUCUUGUGGCUGCUGUAUAGUAAUGAAGUUUGAGAAUGAGAACAUAUAAGUUAAAAGUGAGCUGAGAUCCGGCCACUGCACUCCCGCCUGGGCGACAGAGCGAGACUCCGUCUCAAAAAAAAAAAGUCGUAUGUUACAUAAAUAUUCAGGACCUGAUUAAUUAUACACAACCUUCCAUUGUUUCCAACCUAAGUAGUUUCUUUUGUGAGACAUAUACAACUGUUAACUAUUACACUGAAUUCUAGAAACAUGAAGAUUGCCUUAGUAAACAAUUAUUUAAUGACUAAGUGCAAUAGUUUCAAAAAGAAUUUUGUUCAGCCAGUAAUGACCAUGUUACUAUGAUGAAUUCUUACUUGAUACACUCCAGAAACUUUCCCAAAGGAGUUCAGCCAGUACUGCAAAUUGUUACUUUCCUCUUAAGUGUCAAUGAUAGGGAGCAAGCUGGGGGCGAAGAAUAGAACUAUAACUUCCACUUACAAUGGACUAUAAAGACUGGGGUCAGGAUGUGAUUUAAAGAGGAAACCACAGGGAGAGAAGGAAGGUGGCUCCAGUACCUGGUGUUAAGAAAUACUGAAGUUCAUUCAAGCAAUUCACCAGCACAAGGCAAAUUAAAGAAGGCUGCCCCUCUGACCUUGCACACAAUAUACACAACUUUCAGGCUGUGAUUUAUUGAUUCUCUUUCUCCUUUAAGGCUCUCCUUAACAUUAAUAUUAAUCUGACUUGUCCCAUAAAAGAAUAUGGAAGCCAGAGGUAAGGGGAAAAGGAAUUGUUCCCUACCUGAUUGGUCUCCCUACCACACCCACGAGAUAUGCCCCAGGGAUGGGCUGAGGUCAGCCAUACUUCCCUUAGGCAAUAGUGGCUUUUUGCCAACAGUAAAUAUGCUGUAAAGCAAAAUGUAUCCUCUCCUUUCCUUCUAAGAUCUGGGUCAGGAAAACUUUCCUUCACCUUGUGCAUCUUCUCACCUGCAAACACUUUUUGAAAGACACGUUUGAUAGCCAUCCCAGUUUGGAAAAGGGAAAUGCAGGUACUGCAUUUGGAUUUGGUAAAACAAAACCAAAUAAUCUGAUUUCUGGGACUGUGCAUUAUUCACUUAUGUAUCCCCAGCCCUAGCACAGUGCCUGGCUCAUAACAGCUGCUCAAUAAAUGGUAGUAAAUUGCACUUAUUUUCAAGUCUUCUAGCACUGAGUUUGUUAAAUCUUGGGUGUUACAUUGAAACCAGAUAAUGCAUUGGAACUUAUCCAUUUUCCAUUUAUACACAGGCUUAUCCUUUAGCCUUUCCCUAACCUUAAUUAUUUUCUAUUUUUCCUUCGCUUAUCCACCCAAAGAGCUCAGUUUCAGGGAUAUUUUACAGUGUUCACACUUUGCAAAUAGUAGAUACGCUGAAAAGAAUCUAGUCUUACUCAUCACAGUGAAUGAAAGAAAGGAGCAAUACAUUGCAGAGAUCAGGUGUUCUGUGUACAGCAGACAUGGGAAAGCAAAAUUGAGUAUAGCAAGCAAGAACACCCCCCCACACAACAAAGCAACUUUUUCUUUCACUUGCUAAUCCUACUCUUUACUUCUCUGGCCCUGCCCUCUUUUUCCUCUUUUCUUCAUUUUUCCUCUUCUACUUUUCUAUUUUCUUCUUCACUUGGCCUUGAGGCUAGUUGGACACCCACAAGAAAGAUAACAUUACCAAAGGCUCUCCAUUUUCUAUCUCACCUUCCUUAUCAUAAAGAUGGCUCUUGCCACCAGAGAAAGGAUGUCCAGGUUUAAAAAAAAAAAAAAAA